CGUGCUAAUCUGCGAUAAGCGCCGGUAAGGUGAUAUGAACCGUUAUAACCGGCGAUACCCGAAUGGGGAAACCCAGUGUGAUUCGUCACACUAUCAUUAACUGAAUCCAUAGGUUAAUGAGGCGAACCGGGGGAACUGAAACAUCUAAGUACCCCGAGGAAAAGAAAUCAACCGAGAUUCCCCCAGUAGCGGCGAGCGAACGGGGAGGAGCCCAGAGCCUGAAUCAGCAUGUGUGUUAGUGGAAGCGUCUGGAAAGGCGCGCGAUACAGGGUGACAGCC
rnacentral:rRNA from 4 species